rnacentral:rRNA from 1 species
AUUGAACGCUGGCGGCAGGCCUAACACAUGCAAGUCGAACGAGUGGCGGACGGGUGAGUAAUGUCUGGGAAACUGCCUGAUGGAGGGGGAUAACUACUGGAAACGGUAGCUAAUACCGCAUACCAUCGGAUGUGCCCAGAUGGGAUUAGCUAGUAGGUGGGGUAAAGGCUCACCUAGGCGACGAUCCCUAGCUGGUCUGAGAGGAUGACCAGCAACACUGGAACUGAGCCACGGUCCAGCCUCCUACGGGAGGCAGCAGUGGGGAAUAUUGCACACUGGGCGCAAGCCGGAUGCAGCCAUGCCGCGGGUAUGAAGAAGGCCGUCGGGUUGUAAAGUACUUUCAGCGGGGAGGCUUUACCCGCAGAAGAAGCACCGGCUAACUCCGUGCCAGCAGCCGCGGUAAUUC